rnacentral:rRNA from 1 species
GACGAACGCUGGCGGCAGGCCUAACACAUGCAAGUCGAGCGGAGCGGCGGACGGGUGCGUAAUGCCUAGGAAUCUGCCUGGUAGUGGGGGAUAACGUCCGGAAACGGGCGCUAAUACCGCAUACUCUCAGAUGAGCCUAGGUCGGAUUAGCUAGUUGGUGGGGUAAAGGCCUACAAAGGCGACGAUCCUUAACUGGUCUGAGAGGAUGAUCAGUCACACUGGGACUGAGACACGGUCCAGACUCCUACGGGAGGCAGCAGUGGGGAAUAUUGGGCAAUGGGCGAAAGCCUGAUACAGCCAUGCCGCGUGUAUGAAGAAGGUCUUCGGAUUGUAAAGUUCUUUAGGUUGGGAGGCGUUACCUACAGAAUAAGCACCGGCUAACUUCGUGCCAGCAGCCGCGGUAAUAC